CAAUGUUCUUGAACGUUCUAACGCUGCUGAACGUUCCUGAACGUUGCUCCGUGCUGAACGUUCCUGAGCGUUGCUCCGUGCUGAACGUUCCUGAACGUUGCUCCGUGCUGAACGUUCCUGAGCGUUGCUCCGUGCUGAACGUUCCUGAACGUUGCUCCGUGCUGAACGUUCCUGAACGUUGCUCCGUGCUGAACGUUCCUGAACGUUGCUCCGUGCUGAACGUUCCUGAGCGUUGCUCCGUGCUGAACGUUCCUGAGCGUUGCUCCGUGCUGAACGUUCCUGAGCGUUGCUCCGUGCUGAACGUUCCUGAGCGUUGCUCCGUGCUGAACGUUCCUGAACGUUGCUCCGUGCUGAACACAGCCCAGUCUUCCUCCUGCUGCAGUGUAUUCUCUUGUUGUCAUGUCAACCCCCCUUAACCCCUGACCCUGCUAUGUCUGUUGAGCACUCUUCUUUCCUCUUCAUCUUUCUGUGCCUUGGCUGUGUUUUAUCUGCUAUAAAUUAUAAAGUCUUUGUUUUUAUUUUAAAGUCAUGUGAUUUUCCCAUACAGUAUAACUCUAACACAUACAAUAUUACUCUGACCCAUACAAUGUAACCCUGACCCAUACAACGUAACUCUAACCCAUACAAUGUAGCCCUGACCCAUACAAUGUAGCCCUGACCCAUACAAUGUAACUCUAACCCACACAAUAUAACUCUAACCCAUACAAUGUUGCCCUGACCCAUACAAUGUAGCCCUGACCCUUACAAUUGAACUCUAACCCAUACAAUGUAGCCCUGACCCAUACAAUUUAACUCUAACCCAUACAAUGUAGCCCUGACCCCGUAAAGCCGAUAUAGUAUCCGGAGUAGUGAUAUGAUAUAGAAUCCCCACGUUCUGAUCCAUAAAGGAGUCAUCCUGUUUUCCUCUCAUUAAUGAUGACGAUCCUUCAGCCAGUGGAAUCACGGCCCUGACUGGAUUCUACAGCAUAACGCUGAUUAAUAACUAUAGUGAUAUGAUAUAAAAUCCAUACGUCCUGAUCCAUAAAGGAGUCAUUUUUUAGUCAUCCUGUUCUCCUCACGUUAACGAUGAUGACGAUCCUGAUUAAUAACUAUAUUGACAUGUAUUUUUCUGCUCUUUGGGAAGAAAAGGUUAUAAAGUGUGGCUGAUUUGAGGUUGUAAUAUGUUGUAUGGGAUCUGCUGUGUUGAGGUUAUGGUUGGUUAAAUAAAGUAGUGGUUGAUUUAAGGUUGUAAUAUAUCUGUGUUGGGAUCUGCUGUGUUGAUCCGUUGCUGUACAGAUGUGCUCAGAAUAAAUGUUUUAUUAAACCC
ensembl:lncRNA